rnacentral:rRNA from 1 species
UACAGGGGGGGCAAGCGUUGUUCGGAAUUACUGGGCGUAAAGGGCCAGUAGGCGGCCAACUAAGUCACACGUGAAAUCCCCAGGCUUAACCUGGGAACUGCGUGUGAUACUGGAUGGCUUGAAUUCGGGAGAGGGAUGCAGAAUUCCAGGUGUAGCGGUGAAAUGCGUAGAUAUCUGGAGGAAUACCGGUGGCGAAGGCGGCAUCCUGGACCGGUAUUGACACUGAGGCGCGAAAGCCAGGGGAGCAAACGGG